AUCCAUGUCCUCUUUUUAAAAUACUAAAAUGCCCCUGCUUUUGAUUCAAAUGACAUGACUGCCAACAUGCAAUCCACCUACUCUUGUUUUAUACGUCUAGACAAAACAAUUCAAAAAAAAUUACAAAAAUAAUUUAUUUGAUGAUAUAUGAAUCAUAUGAGAACUUCACAUCAAUCAAGAAUCAAAUCUUCAAUGCAUGAUUCUUCUUGGAAGAUACGUCUUAUGGAAGAAAGAAUAUGAAAAAAAAAUACUAAUAACACACUUUUUGAUAUAUUUUUUUAAACACAUACUUUAUUAUUAGAUUGAUUGAAAAAUACAUUUUUUGGUGGUCCCAUUUUAGUAAAUAAUCAAUCAUACACUAUCAUCUACAAUAAGUUUUUAGCUUAAAAGUCAUACUAAGAAAUUCUGAUUUAUGAACUGAAAAUGUAUGGCAUCUCAUGCUUGCCAAAUAUUUGUGUGUGCCAAUUGGCUAAAAUCUGUUUACAGUUAUUGGAUCAACUUAGUUGUUUCCUCUGAUGUAUCUUGUUUCACUCAUCUUAAAUGUAAGAGAAGAAAGUGUACUCUACAAAAGAACUAGCACUUCUGGAUUUGUAAGCUAUUCUAAAGGUAAUCUUUACAAGAAAGAAACAUGAAGUUUUCAUGUUAAGCUUAUUCUACUCUACAGUUUCAAGUGCUCAAACCGUAGAUAUUCAGAGAGGAACCACGUUGUUUCGUCAAGCUUGUAUUGGAUGCCAUGAUGCAGGUGGAAACAUAAUACAACCGAAAUGAAGUUGAUACAGAAGAAGCAAUCUAUCGUGUCACAUACUAUGGCAAAGCACGAAUGCCAGGCUUUGGUAAAGAGUGCAUGCCACGGGGUCAGUGCACAUUUGGAGCUCGUUUGGAAGAUGAAGAUAUCAAGACAUUGGCCGAGUUUGUCAAGUUACAGGCUGAUCAAGGGUGGCCAAGUAUAGAGACUAAAGAAGAAUGAUUUAAUACAUAUUUGGUUCAAUUUAAUGAAUUUAUAAAAAACAAUUGCUUGUUCGUUUCAAUUUUUUAAGGGAACUUUUGGAAAAUAAAUGAUUUUUUAUGUCCAAUUGAGCUGAACAAAGCAUGCUAUUAACUUUUGUUUCAUCUUUUCAUAAUAUAUGAAUGUUUGGUUUACAGUUA